GACGAACGCUGGCGGCGUGCCUAAUACAUGCAAGUAGAACGCUGAAGGAGGAGCUUGCUCUUCUGGAUGAGUUGCGAAAGGGUGAGUAACGCGUAGGUAACCUGCCUGGUAGCGGGGGAUAACUAUUGGAAACGAUAGCUAAUACCGCAUAACAGUAGAUGUUGCAUGACAUUUGCUUAAAAGGUGCAAUUGCACCACUACCAGAUGGACCUGCGUUGUAUUAGCUAGUUGGUGGGGUAACGGCUCACCAAGGCGACGAUACAUAGCCGACCUGAGAGGGUGAUCGGCCACACUGGGACUGAGACACGGCCCAGACUCCUACGGGAGGCAGCAGUAGGGAAUCUUCGGCAAUGGACGGAAGUCUGACCGAGCAACGCCGCGUGAGUGAAGAAGGUUUUCGGAUCGUAAAGCUCUGUUGUAAGAGAAGAACGAGUGUGAGAGUGGAAAGUUCACACUGUGACGGUAUCUUACCAGAAAGGGACGGCUAACUACGUG
rnacentral:rRNA from 1 species